rnacentral:rRNA from 1 species
GACGAACGCUGGCGGCGUGCUUAACACAUGCAAGUCGAACGGAAAGGCCCUGCUUUUGUGGGGUGCUCGAGUGGCGAACGGGUGAGUAACACGUGAGUAACCUGCCCUUGACUUUGGGAUAACUUCCGGAAACUGGUGCUAAUACCGGCUAGGAGCUCCUGCUGCAUGGUGGGGGUUGGAAAGUUUCGGCGGUUGGGGUUGGACUCGCGGCUUAUCAGCUUGUUGGUGGGGCAGAGGCUUACCAAGGCUUUGACGGGGAGCCGGCCUGAGAGGGUGACCGGCCACAUGGGGACUGAGAUACGGCCCAGACUCCUACGGGAGGCAGCAGUGGGGAAUAUUGCACAAUGGGCGGAAGCCUGAUGCAGCAACGCCGCGUGCGGGAUGACGGCCUUCGGGUUGUAAACCGCUUUCGCCGGUGACGAAGCGUGAGUGACGGUAAUGGGUAAAGAAGCACCGGCUAACUACGU